rnacentral:lncRNA from 1 species
UGGAAUGAAUUUAUUUGAGUUACUCAAUGAUAUUUUGACUUUAAAAUUUAAGCUUUUUACUUAAUCUUAGUAAAUUUAUAACAUGACGUAUACUAACUGAACCUAUAAAGAUAAAUGAUACAUUCAAAUUCUAAAGUCAAAAUUUAUUGUCUAAUUCAAAUUAAACAAAUUUAAAAGUUGGAUAGUAAAAUCAAGAGGCAAUUGCUUGUAUACUCUUGAAAAUUUUCCUACUUUCUUUUAGAAGGCUAAUAUUAAAACUACCUUUUUAAAGUUUUAAAGUCUUUCAAAUAUACCCAUAAGGGCGCGUUUGGUUCGCACUAUGAAAGAUUACUUGGAGUAAAAUGAUAUUUUAGAAUCUUAUUCCUAUUCAUCCUAUUAAUAUGAAUACAGUAUUUCGGUGUUUGGUUCGUACGGUCAUAUUAUUUAGUCAAUAUUAUUUAAGAUUACGAAAAAUAUAUAAUUAAUUAAUUUAUAUUUUUAAUCAAUUUUAAAUAAUACUAUAAAAAAAUUUCAACAUCUUUUUAGAAAAGAGGGAGAGAAUAUAGAUUAGAAAGAAAAAGCAUAAUUAAAGAAAUAGAAAGAGAAAUAGAGUCGAGAUUAGAGAGAAUGAGAGGGUUGAGAUUUUAGAAAAAAAAGGGGGAGAAAUAAUUUAAUUUAGAGAGAGAAAAAGAGUUGAAGUUUAGAGAGAAAAAAAUAAGUUUAGAGAGAGAUAUGAGGUUAGAGUGCAAAAAAAAAUAAUACCAACUAGCCAACGGAUAAGAGAUUAGACAUAUUAUAAUUACCCAAAUCCAUUAAUAUAAGGAUACCCACUCUCCCUCAAAGGAAUGUGAUUAGUACUUUGGGAUGCAUCUCAUUCCCAAGUAAAUCCAAUAUUACCAACUAGAUUACUUAGUACGUUUAGCCAAACACCUUCAUUUUUUUUAAUUCAUAUUGGAUUACUAGAAAUCUUAUAAAGAUAGCGCGAACCAAACGCACCCUAAAGUUAAUUUCUAUUAGUAAACAGUUAGGAACAAUUGUUAUUUCUGAAAAAUUAUUAUUUUACCCUUUCAAAUAUACCCUUCUACUGACACCAACUUUUCUUAUUUGCCCUUAAGUUAGAGAUAAAAUAAAUAUUUUCACUAUUUUUUAACCAUAGUUGAAAUUUAACUCAGGUUUAACCUAAGAUAACUUAACGGGAACUAACUGCAGAUGUAUUUUUGAAUAACGGAGAAAUAUAUGAGAAAUAUAUUUGAAACAAAAAAAAUAGAAAUAAAGGAGAUAUUUAAGAGGUUUUGAGGGUUAUAUACACAAUUAU